rnacentral:piRNA from 1 species
UGGGCAGAAGAAAGAAAGGAUAGAUAAAAGC